ACUGUGUUAGUGAGUAGUUAAGUAACAGGAAGUCAAGACAACCAGCAGGAGGAGAAAGCACCAAAGCCAGCAGGCAUAACCUGAAGGCUGGAAAAGGCAAAGUUGGUGCAACUGGAAUUGUCCUGGAGGUGGAGUCUUAGGUCAGCCACUUCGGCCCUCAGUGGUGGCAGCCCUCGGGUGGCUGUGGUGCUGCUGUCUGGGAGGGUGCUGAGGAAGCUCCUCACUCAUGGCCAUGUGGCUUUCUUGUCAUUAGUCAGUCUUAGUGAUGUAUUUGACAAUCGGUACCUUAAAGACGUGCUCACCUAGUUGUUCAUAGCUACGAUCAGAGAUGGUCUCUGAGCAUAGGUGGUCUUAUGUAUCCGGUGUGUGUUUAAAGAGAAAAAUGUUUGUUUGCGUCACCGACCAGGAAGGGUUAACUGAUCUUUUCUGUGGUUUUUCAUCCUUUCCUUUGAAGUCACUACACAAUAAUGAACACAGGAUUUCUCUCCAAAGUUGUCAUUACAGAGUGUGUUGGGCUCUGGUCCACAAGGAUGGACGGUAAUGGUCUUCCAUGGGAUUUUUGCCCUGCAAGUACUCUGAGCCUGGUCUCUGUCCGCAGGAGGGGAGAGCCAGACAGCAGUGCACAGCAGGCGUGCGAGUUCACCGUGGUGGCUGGAGACUGAUGUCUGGGACCACAGGGGAGCCGGCAUGCUCUGAGCAUGCGUCAUGCCCCAGCCCUCCUCAGGAAGCUCAGAGUGGGCUCUGAGGAUGCGCUGAGGCUCCUAGUUGUUGGGGAAGAAUGGCCAGAGUCAAAUGAAAGAUGCAAUCUGGAGUUUUCUGAAAAAAUUCCAUCUGAGGAUUUUUACAUUUAAUAUUUUUUUAAAACAAUCUAGAGAGCAAAAAAAUGUACAUGUAUUGUAGCUGCAAAGUGUGCAGAUGCUUUGGGUGGCUUUGUCUUACUGUGUAAAACUGUUGAACACGACUGUGGUGCACAAAUUCUUUCUGUGUAAGGAGUCUAUGCAUUUUACAGUAACAUCUUAUGAUUGGUAAUGAGACAGUUAUACAGUCAACUGCCAUCUUUCUUAUUAAGUGCUUUCACUUUCCUUAGUUAUUACAAAGUUUAUUUAUUUUCUACAGGUGGGUUUUGUGUUCAUGAUGCUGUAAUGUUUACUUCAGCUAGUUGAGCUCUGUGUGGUCUGCAUGUCACAAUGUGUGUUCUGAGGUGACUGUAAAGGCUGUGACAACUGUAAUUCGAUGUUGUAAAGGGCUGGUCACCUGUGGAUCUGGCUUCUGAAUGCAUCGGGGAUGAUUUUACCAGAUCACCUUUUCAGAAAUUUAUAUGUUGUAAACACCAAAAGAAGCAUUUUCUCAGCAAAAAUUAAUAGCUGGUUCUAUUUUUUUUUAAUGUAGAGAAAAUAAAGUUGAUUUCCUUUUUUUCAAAAACAAUGCUUUUAAUUCUUAAGUGGGGGUGGUGUCUGCUGUGCGGAGCUCCUCGGCAGUCCGUGCUGCAGCAGUGCCUGGAGCGCAGCAUUCAUGGCCGGGGAGAGAAACCUUCAGGUUCCUUCUUGGGCUUAAAAAGACUUGGCCCUCUCUCCAGUCCUCUCAUUUGGUGUGAGCUCCUGGGAAAAUUAUGUAAAUAUACAUCCAUGUGUUAUAAAGUUUGCUGGUAACAUAUUUGAUGCAAUUAGCAAAGAAUAAAAUAUAUUUUUGUUUUACAAUAAAUCCUUACAAUAUAAUUAUCAUUGCUGAGCCCUCAGAGCCAACUUGUGACAAUAUCAACCGUGAUUUGAUUGGUAGCUUUAUGCCCUGCCCUGCUACACCAACCAUCUCCAGAUAAACUCUGUCUAUUGUAUGAUUUAUAUUAAACUCUUACCCAUGUACAGAACCUCCUUUUAGUUUCAACGUCAGCUAAAAGUUUAGAUAAUUUAUUUUUAAUUAUAUUAAACCCUAGAGUUAAAUGAUCAGCUCUUAGAGGCAAGCUGGAGCUGCCUUCGUCACACUGCUGUCCUGGUAUUUUGUGUUUUGAUUUGUUUUAAUUACUAGUGUUGAAUAAAAUUCUCAGAAUUGAUUUACUCACUGCUAUCACUGGCCCUUGCAGGUUUGAGAGUGGAAAGGGACUGAGAGUAGCAAGAACAAGGGGACUUUCAAUCCUGGAAAGCCUGAGGACAUCAGGCUUCCCAGGGAGCGCAGGGGCCAGCACGCCAGAUUCUCAAAGAUGGGUGAAUGUGUACACCUAUCACUAAGAUUUUAUUUUUUGGACAUUAAAAACAUUGAUGGUUUAGUUGUUUGUUUGUAGAAUGUGUCCAACCCAUUGAAACCUUUAAUAUAUUAAACUAUCUUGCACAAUCCUACCAAGUAAGUUAAAUUGUUACCGUUGAGCCUACCUCUUCUUUUCCUGGCUGCAUUUGGGAUGCUGGUUGGGUGAGGCUGCAGUUUGUUUCCCCUCUAAAGUACUUUAUGUGGAAGACAACAGAUUAUGGGCCCAAAAGGAGAUUUGAGGCUUUUUGCGAUCUGUUGCUGACCAGCCCUAUUCCCUAUGAGUUUGGGGAAAGCCAUUGUUUUUAACACCCACUUAAUAUGAAAAUGUUUGUUUAAAAAAAUGUUUCUUGCUGGUGAAAAAUGUAUUUUUAAAAGGAAAAACCAAAAUCCUCUUUUGGUCUGAGAAGUCAGCUGUAUGAGCAGGUGUGACCAUGUCAUAACAUGCUGAUGUCAUAGAAAUCAAUAAAUUUUUAUCUCUCAGG
rnacentral:lncRNA from 1 species